GCAGCACAAGAACUGGGACAGAUGGAGCUCUUUCAGGGUCUAUGCCUUUCUCUCCUCAUCCUCUCAGCUUUAGGAGCUGUGGUUUCUAAAAAGGAAGUGCAUGGAAUUAAAGCUCCAGCUGCAGAACCUAAGCCAGGUGCAGAAUUCUUUGACCCAGAUUAUCCAGGAUAUGACCAAGUUCCAGAAUAUGUGCCAGACUCGCUAAUCCCAGAUUUGUAUACA